AGAGACAGAUAAGUCACUCCCUUCAGAGCUGGGUGGGUGCCGGUACAUGUUCAGGGCCAUGACUGUGCCACUGGGGCUGCUGCUGGCCCUGUUGGGCUGCACCACGGCACUGGACCCUGUACUGGAGGAGGCCUGGGAAAGGUGGAAGAGCCUUUAUGCCAAGGAAUACCCUGGGGAGGCUGAGCUCAUCCGCAGGGAGGUCUGGGAGAACAACCUGCGGCGCAUUGAGCAGCACAACUGGGAGGAGUCGCAGGGGCAGCAUACAUUCCGCCUGGGAAUGAACCAUUACGGGGACCUGAUGGACGAGGAGUUCAACCAACUCCUGAAUGGCUUUGCCCCAGUGCAGCAUGAGGAGCCAGCACUGACCUUCCAGGCAUCGGCAGCUCAGAAGACCCCAGCAGAAGUGGACUGGCGAAUGAGAGGCUACGUGACACCCGUGAAGAACCAGGGGCACUGUGGGUCAUGCUGGGCAUUCAGUGCCACAGGGGCCCUGGAAGGACUCGUCUUCAAUUGGACGGGGAAGCUGGCAGUGCUGAGUGAGCAGAACCUCAUUGACUGCUCCCGGAAGCUGGGCAACAACGGUUGCCAAGGUGGCUACAUGACCCGUGCCUUCCAGUAUGUGCAUGAUAACGGUGGCAUGAACUCAGAGCACAUCUACCCCUACCAGGCCACAGACACCUCCAGCUGCCGAUACAACCCUGCGGACAGGGCAGCCAACUGCUCCACGGUCUGGCUGGUGGCCCAGGGCAGUGAGGCAGCGCUGGAGCAGGCAGUUGCAACUGUGGGCCCCGUGUCUGUGGCAGUGGAUGCCAGCAGCUUCUUCUUUCACUUCUACAAAUCAGGCAUCUUCAACAGUAUGUUUUGCAGCCAGAAGGUGAACCAUGGGAUGUUGGCUGUGGGCUAUGGCAUCAGCCAGGAAGCCAGGAAGAACGUGAGCUACUGGAUCUUAAAGAAUAGCUGGUCGGAGGUGUGGGGUGAGAAGGGCUACAUCCGCCUGCUGAAGGGAGUUAACAACCACUGUGGGGUGGCCAACCAGGCCAGCUUCCCUCUGCUGUGAGCUCCUGCACUGGGAGGAAGAUGGCGCUCGCUGGGAUUGCUCCCCUGCCUUGCUGUGAUGAUAGGGAUGCUUCCUUCUGGAAGGGGCUUUUGUCUGUGUGUGCUCCCUCUGCACAAUGGUUGGUGAGAGGAGCUUUCUCUGCCCUUCAUAAAAUCGCAGAGCGGUUUGUGCUGAAAGGGACCUCUCAAGGCUAUCUUGUCCUAGUCUCUGCAACAACCAGGGAUGCCUACAGCCCAAUCAGGUGCUUUUCCUUCCAGCUGAAUCUCAAAUGCAGAGCUCUGAGAUUUUUUGGCCAUAACUGCAGCUCUCUAACCCAAACAUUAUCCCUCCUAACCCAGCUCUUUAUUAAGUAGCUCCUUACCAAAGGGCUAGGCAAAACAAACAAACAACAACAACAACAACAAAAAACCUACACUUCCUUCACCUCCUGCUGCUUAUUUCUGUGUCCAUCAACUACUGUGGGGAUUUGCUCCCUAUGAGCACAAACAAGGCCAUAGUAAGGGGGAACACAACCCUGAAAUGGCCACUUUAGGGACAGGGCAGAGCAGGUGGGAUGGCCCCAGGGGCACUGUCCAGGUAGACACUGUCAUUUUGUCCAAUAUCCCAAUGGCUCCU